GCUCCUAUAGUUAAGUGGCAUAACGCGUCCAUGGUAAGGAUGAAUUUCAAGUUCGAUUCUUGAUGGGAGCACCA
rnacentral:tRNA from 1 species